UACGAAGGGUGCAAACGUUGCUCGGAAUUAUUGGGCGUAAAGCGCACGUAGGCGGCUUAGCAAGUCGGAUGUGAAAUCCCUCGGCUCAACCAAGGAAGUGCAUCCGAAACUGCUGAGCUUGAGUACGAAAGAGGAUCGCGGAAUUCCCGGUGUAGAGGUGAAAUUCGUAGAUAUUGGGAGGAACACCAGUGGCGAAGGCGGCUCACUGGACUGGUACUGACGCUGAUGCGCGAAAGCGUGGGGAGCAAACAGG
rnacentral:rRNA from 1 species